rnacentral:rRNA from 1 species
CCUACGGGGGGCAGCAGUGAGGAAUAUUGGUCAAUGGCCGCAGGGCUGAACCAGCCAAGUCGCGUGAGGGAUGAUGGUCCUAUGGAUUGUAAACCUCUUUUGUCAGGGAGCAAAGGGCGCCACGUGUGGCGCUUUGCGAGUACCUGAAGAAAAAGCAUCGGCUAACUCCGUGCCAGCAGCCGCGGUAAUACGGAGGAUGCGAGCGUUAUCCGGAUUUAUUGGGUUUAAAGGGUGCGCAGGCGGAAUGUCAAGUCAGCGGUAAAAUUUCGGGGCUCAACCCCGUCGUGCGGUUGAAACUGGCGUUCUUGAGUGAGCGAGAAGUAUGCGGAAUGCGUGGUGUAGCGGUGAAAUGCAUAGAUAUCACGCAGAACUCCGAUUGCGAAGGCAGCAUACCGGCGCUCAACUGACGCUCAUGCACGAAAGCGUGGGUAUCGAACAGGAUUAGAUACCCGGGUAGUC